UGAGCCUACCUGUUGCAGACAUCCUGGAGGUGAGGCAGAAGCCCAUCCUGAUGACAUAGCGGCCGUCGUCCCUCAGAGCAUCACUCCAAGUGCCUCCUCAUCAGGCCACUGAGGCAGCAGCGCCCCCCGGUGACCGCCGACCAAACACCUGCUGCACCUGGAGACGCUGGCGGGAGGCGACCGAGACGCAGAAACCAACCAGCCAUUCAGGAAGUGCCUCCUCUUCUUUCGGUUCCUGCCGUGUCCCGGGUCGUCUCCGUGGAAACGGGCCGGCGUCAGGAUCACAUGACCUCAGUGUGAACAGGCAUUGGCUGAACUCUGACCAGGAAGUAGAGGGAAGUGCAGAAUGUGUGUCUGUAAAUAUGUGCUGCUUUACUCACUGAGACGCCUUGACGGAAGGUUGUGCUUUAAAGACGGGACUUCAGAACCGCAGCGGUCGGAGGAGCUUCUGUUACGGCUUCGUUCUACAGACGGACCGGUUCUGUUACUCACAGCGAUCCACUAACCGGCACUCAGAGGGUAAACACUAGCGAUGCUUGUAAAUGCUGUUUUCUUCUCACUAGAUGGUGAAUUCGACUUUAAUCGUAGAACUUUACGUCUUGGCACAGAUUUUUACUUUCAAGAAAAGUUUGAAUUUUUUUGAGAACAAGGUCCAACAUUCGUAUUUAUAAAACUACAUUACGGUUUUCUUCAAAUUGCAUUUGAGAUUAAAGUUCUGUGAUGAGAUAAAGUCAUUCUGAGGAAGAAUUCAGAAUAUUAGGAGAAUAAAGUGUCAGAGUUCAUCCACCUGUUGAUGAACUCUGAACGUUCUGGCACAAAAGCAGGUUUAACAAAUGACAAAAGGAACAACUCACAAUUGUAAAAGUACAAUUAUUAUUCUUUUUUAAUUGCAUUUGAGAUGCUGUGGUGAGACUGAGGGAGGAAGAAUUUAGAAUGAACGUGUAGCUUCAUGAGAGCCUUCGCUCCGGUAACGUUCUCUGGACGUUACAAUAAAUUAUGUUUGUUACCAAAAAGCAGUGAAAAGAUGACAAACUUGUCAAAGUGCACGUUUAUUGUCUGAAUCUUCUAAAUUCUCCAUCAGAAUGACUUUUGCACAAAUGUUGGAUUAAAGAGAAGGAGGGCUGAGGUCGGACCUUGGUUCUGGUCAAACAGCAUCUGGACAUUAAUUACUGACGUUCUCCUGAUUAGUCUGAAGGCCGACGCAGCAGAACGGAGCACAAAGAAACCAACUGCCUGGACUCAAGCCGCCGGUCCGGUUCUGGUGGACGAGUCGUGUUCAGACCCUCCAGUCCGUUCUCACAGUUCUGCUUUUCUUUGUGAUUUAUAGGAUUUGAUCCAGUCUAACAGAAGCCGAUCAGCUAAUCAGUCUGGUUAUUGAUGAGCCGUUUCCAGUGAAUCCUUUAGUUCCACUUUGAGUAUUUCAGGAUUUCGACACAACGUGAACAAACGGUCGACUUUCAGCGACUGAACCACGAACAGAACAAAGAGACGUCACACAAACCCAGCUUUGACUUUUUACUGCUUUAGCUCCAACUGGAAAGACUUGAACGCUGCUGACGGGACGCUGAGAGGAACCACGUGAAGCAUCUGACUCCGGGUUGGUCCUCCUGAAGCCUUAAACCGACUCCUGGUUCUCUUCACCUUCAGCUCGUCUCGACUGGCUGGAAGCACCGACACCAGCUGAGCUUCUGUCGGGGUUUAGAUCUGACUUCAGGCCCUGGUGUUUGUGUUUCCAGGACUGACCGACUGACUGACUGAUGUGGACUCUGGGCAGGACGUCAGCCAGCUGCUGCUGUUAUUGAUCAGAUAUUAUCAGUGAUUGAUUUGCACUCAGAUGAAGCCAUCGUCGAUCAAAGUGUUUUCUUUGUUCUGCAGCAGCGACGUCUCCACAGGUUCCUCCGGUUCUCCGUGUUAUUGAUGACGUAGUUUCUAGAGCCUCCAGCUGAAUGUAUCCACGCUGACCAAUAGCAGACUUUGAUAACCGGCAGUUUGUGAAACUGUGAAACGCUUUUAGACCUUCUGAAGCUGUUCCUCACGUUCCUGUGCAUGUUCUUCUUCUGUUGCUUCUGUACUUCUUAUUUAUUGAAUACACAUUAGCAGAACCCCGUGUCACGUCUCACUCCAUCAGGUCCAACUCCACAUCUUCAGGGUAGAACCAGCAGACUGUUCCAGGUUGUCUCCAGGACCGCUGGACUCUGGUUUGGCAGUGAAAUGAGUUGUUCUGUUCCAACACAAACACAGGCUGCAGUAACGGGUCAUUAUGUCUGAGGGGAACCGGCAACGCUUGGUUCUGGAUGAAUCCAUCAGUUUCCUCCAGAGAUCUUCAGUUACUGACCAGAACGGGUUCUACAGAUGGAUCACAGAACGCAGACGGGUUCUAUUGAAGCUGCUCAAACUGAUGAUUGAUUAGUUGAUUAGCUGAUCACCUGUCUGAUGGUCUCUGGUUAACAGUGACGGAAACCACUCAACAGUUUACUACCACUUCCUGUGUGUGACCAACAGGAACGCAGAGACGGUAACCAUGGCAACAGUACAGCCACUGUGCUGCUCUACAUCCUGGUUGGUUCCAGAGUCAUGUGACCAGUCAGCUGCCUCUGACAGGCUCCGCCCCCAUCACCCUACUGGCCCUGAAACCAACCGAAUGUGUUUUCAGAACAUUUUCCAGGAUCACUCCCAGAAUGCUUUGCGGCUCAGACAGCAUCACCACAUGCUGCCUGAGCCGCCGGAAGCCAAACAGACAGACGUAAGGUGGUUUGUUUCCUUUAUUCUCCAACAAAUGUCUUUACAAACGUUCUCAGACGAUGACAGCAUCUCGAAGGCCACACAAAGGACACUUGAAACAACAGAAGCAGGAAACA